UACGGAGGGGGCUAGCGUUGUUCGGAAUUACUGGGCGUAAAGCGCACGUAGGCGGCUUUGUAAGUUAGAGGUGAAAGCCCAGGGCUUAACCCUGGAAUUGCCUUUAAGACUGCAUCGCUAGAAUCGUGGAGAGGUGAGUGGAAUUCCGAGUGUAGAGGUAGAAAUUCGUAGAUAUUCGGAAGGAACACCAGUGGCGAAGGCGACUCACUGGACACGGUAUUGACGCUGAGGUGCGAAAGCGUGGGGAGCAAACAGG
rnacentral:rRNA from 1 species